rnacentral:rRNA from 1 species
AUUGAACGCUGGCGGCAGGCCUAACACAUGCAAGUCGAACGAGUGGCGGACGGGUGAGUAAUGUCUGGGAAACUGCCUGAUGGAGGGGGAUCACUAAUGGAAACGGUAGCUAAUACCGCAUACCAUCGGCAGUGCCCAGAUGGGAUUAGGUAGUAGGUGGGGUAAAGGCUCACCUAGGCGACGAUCCCUAGCUGGUCUGAGAGGCUGACCAGCCACACUGGAACUGAGACACGGUCCAGACUCCUACGGGAGGCAGCAGUGGGGAAUAUUGCACAAUGGGCGCAAGCCUGAUGCAGCCAUGCCGCGUGUAUGAAGAAGGCCUUCGGGUUGUAAAGUACUUUCAGCGGGGAGGCGUUACCCGAAGAAGAAGCACCGGCUAACUCCGUGCCAGCAGCCGCGGUAAUUC